CUUUACUAUAGCUUGGAAUUGUGUUCGGGCUUGCUGUGCGCAGUAUAGGUGGGAGGCGUUGAAGGUAUCCUUGUGGGGAUACUCGAGCCAACAGUGAGAUACCACUCUCAGAAAGCUAGAAUUCUAACUCGAAAGAGGAAAGUUUCAGGUGGGUAGUUUGACUGGGGCGGUCGCCUCCAAAAAAGUAACGGAGGCGUACAAAGGUUACCUCAGACUGGUUGGAAAUCAGUCGUAGAGUGCAAAAGCAGAAGGUAGCUUGACUGCGAGACGGACAAGUCGAGCAGGGUGGAAACACGGUUUUAGUGAUCCGACGGUGCCGAGUGGAAGGGCCGUCGCUCAACGGAUAAAAGUUA
rnacentral:rRNA from 1 species